CCGUGCCAAGCUGUGUGCAUC
rnacentral:miRNA from 1 species